AAUAGAUACCCGGGUAGUCCAUGCCGUAAACGUUGGGCGCUAGAUGUGGGGACCAUUCCACGGUUUCCGUGUCGCAGCUAACGCAUUAAGCGCCCCGCCUGGGGAGUACGGCCGCAAGGCUAAAACUCAAAGGAAUUGACGGGGGCCCGCACAAGCGGCGGAGCAUGCGGAUUAAUUCGAUGCAACGCGAAGAACCUUACCAAGGCUUGACAUAUACGAGAACGCUGCAGAAAUGUAGAACUCUUUGGACACUCGUAUACAGGUGGUGCAUGGUUGUCGUCAGCUCGUGUCGUGAGAUGUUGGGUUAAGUCCCGCAACGAGCGCAACCCUCGUUCUAUGUUGCCAGCACGUAAUGGUGGGAACUCAUAGGAGACUGCCGGGGUCAACUCGGAGGAAGGUGGGGAUGACGUCAAAUCAUCAUGCCCCUUAUGUCUUGGGCUUCACGCAUGCUACAAUGGCCGGUACAAAGGGCUGCAAUACCGUAAGGUGGAGCGAAUCCCAAAAAGCCGGUCUCAGUUCGGA
rnacentral:rRNA from 1 species